rfam:Zea mays cultivar B73 chromosome 1, whole genome shotgun sequence.
UAGCCCACUUGGUAGAGCACAAGGCUUCUAACCAUGUGGUCGUGGGUUCAAGCCCCAU